CUUUACUGUAUGCUGGUAUUGGUAUUAGGCAUGUCUUGUGUAGGAUAGGUGGGAGGCUGCGAAGUUGGGACGCAAGUCCUGAUGGAGCCAACGUUGAAAUACCACCCUGGACCUGUUUGAUAUCUAACCCCGACCCGUAAUCCGGGCGGUGGACAGUGCCAGUUGGGCAGUUUGACUGGGGCGGUCUCCUCCAAAAAGGUAACGGAGGAGCUCAAAGGUACCCUCAGCCUGGUUGGCAAUCAGGCGAAGAGCGUAAGGGUAGAAGGGUGCUUGACUGCAAGACCGACGAGUCGCGCAGAAACGAAAGUUGGACCUAGUGAUCCGGCGGUUCCGAAUGGAAGGGCCGUCGCUCAACGGAUAAAAGGUA
rnacentral:rRNA from 1 species